GAAGGAACCCGGAAGAGGAAAGAAGUCAGUAGCCAGAGAUGGUGCAUGCCUCAGAUGAGCUGCCCGGCACAGAUGAGCUGCCCAGCACGUAUCUGGGUUGCAUUCAAGUAUUGCAGAUUGAACCCAAGGUCUUGUGCAUACUAGCAAAGCCACCUCUCCGGCAUAUCCAAACCAAGCCAUAGUGCAUCCAGGAUGGAGCAAGCACCCAGCACAGAGUCCGUACGAAGAUUUACUGUGAAGAUGCACGCCAAGAGCUUUAAAAGACAGGGCUAAAACUGCCGCGGGUCACUUCAUUCCACCAACCCAAACCGCAGCCACCUGCCACCAAGCCUUCCAUUACCUGUCUCUGAGGCGCUGAAGCCCCAGCUGCUCCCAGAUCGCUUGCCUGGGAACUUCCCAUCUUUCCAGUGGAGCCGAGAAGAGGUUCAUGGUGACUCACGCUCAGCUAAAACACCCCGGAGCAGACAUCUGAAGCCAGCCUGUCUCUGAUGUGAGCACCCCAUCUGCAGAGAAGACGGACGGAGAAGUCAGUAAGGCAAUCCUCCCCGAGAGCUAGGCGCUAAGCAGGUCCUAAAACGUAAGCUAUGGGCAGAUAAGAAGGCAAGCUGCUUUCGAGUGUGCUUCUGCGUCCAUCUCAGAAUUAACCUACGGCUGGCGCUCCAACAGAGACUGGCCUGGCCUGCUGAAGAGGCCAAACGCCGCUUCUCAUCCCCUCAAGACAACAGCUGUGCAAAAUUCUAUCACCUGAGCAACGUAGAUGAUUGAUCUAAGGGAAGGGCUGUUUUUCCGGUUUCAGUUUUCCAAACAGCAUGACUCCGUCAUUCCCAAACCACUUGCCCCUUAACCCAAAGUCUAAGACACAAGUAACAGGUAGAACAGAGGAAAUGCACGUGACCUUGAGUCAUGAGACCAACCCAGCUCAGCCACGUGCAAACCAAGUGAUGACCCCAGGAACCUUACUCCCCACACGCAGGUUCAUCCAGUGACUCAAAAACACAGACUUUACUAGAUUCGCUCUCAGAACCGAUACAAGAAUGGAGCACAGCCCCCAUAAAAGUCACUCAAAGAAAAGCCCCAGAACCCAUGCCCUGGGCCCCUGCAGACACGCAUGCCGAGUUUUCAUGUUUUAAUGUAAUUCCAGGAAGUUUAGCCAUAGUAAACAUGUAGAGAAACUGGACACAUGGAAUCAGAAACAGCCUCUAUGAUGGAAUCAAGACGUGGCAGCUCCAGGGAUGGGGACACGGCAGCUACAGAGAGAUGGGAACACAGCAGC